UACGUAGGGUCCGAGCGUUGUCCGGAAUCAUUGGGCGUAAAGCGCGUGUAGGCGGCCAGAAAAGUCCGCUGUGAAAACUCGAGGCUCAACUUCGAGCUGUCGGUGGAAACUUUCUGGCUAGAGUCCGGAAGAGGAGAAUGGAAUUCCUAGGUGUAGCGGUGAAAUGCGUAGAUAUCCGGAGGAACACCAGGGGCGAAAGCGGCCGACUGGUCGAGUACUGACGCUGAGGCGCGACGGCGUGGGGAGCAAACCGG
rnacentral:rRNA from 1 species